ACGCGUGGAACCUUACCAGGUCUUGACAUCCCGCUGACCGUCCUGGAGACAGGAUUUUCCCUUCGGGGACAGCGGUGACAGGUGGUGCAUGGUUGUCGUCAGCUCGUGUCGUGAGAUGUUGGGUUAAGUCCCGCAACGAGCGCAACCCUUGAUCUUAGUUGCCAGCAUUUAGUUGGGCACUCUAAGGUGACUGCCGGUGACAAACCGGAGGAAGGUGGGGAUGACGUCAAAUCAUCAUGCCCCUUAUGACCUGGGCUACACACGUGCUACAAUGGAUGGUACAAAGGGCUGCAAGACCGCGAGGUUUAGCCAAUCCCAUAAAACCAUUCUCAGUUCGGAUUGCAGGCUGCAACUCGCCUGCAUGAAGCCGGAAUCGCUAGUAAUCGCGGAUCAGCAUGCCGCGGUGAAUACGUUCCCGGGCCUUGCACACACCGCCCGU
rnacentral:rRNA from 1 species